UACGGAGGGAGCUAGCGUUGUUCGGAUAUACUGGGCGUAAAGCGCACGUAGGCGGCGCAGCAAGUCAGGGGUGAAAUCCCGGAGCUCAACUCCGGAACUGCCUUUGAAACUGCAGUGCUAGAAUCCUGGAGAGGCGAGUGGAAUUCCGAGUGUAGAGGUGAAAUUCGUAGAUAUUCGGAAGAACACCAGUGGCGAAGGCGACUCACUGGCCCGAUACUGACGCUGAGGCGCGAAAGCGUGGGGAGCAAACAGG
rnacentral:rRNA from 1 species